GGGCGCGUAGCUCAAAUGGUUAGAGCGUCUGACUUACAUUCAGAAGGUUUCAGGUUCAAGUCCUGACGCGCCCACAA
rnacentral:tRNA from 1 species